rnacentral:rRNA from 1 species
UACGUAGGGGGCAAGCGUUGUCCGGAUUUAUUGGGCGUAAAGAGCGUGUAGGCGGCUUUACAGGUCCGUUGUGAAAACUCGAGGCUCAACCUCGAGACGCCGGUGGAAACCGUAAAGCUAGAGUCCGGAAGAGGAGAGUGGAAAUUCCUGGUGUAGCGGUGAAAUGCGCAGAUAUCAGGAGGAACACCCGUGGCGAAAGCGGCUCUCUGGGACGGUACUGACGCUGAGACGCG